AGCGAACGCUAGCGGCGGGCCUAACACAUGCAAGUCGAGCGGAGGGCAACCCUCAGCGGCGAACGGGUGAGUAACACGUAGGUAAUGUACCCUCUGGUGGGGAAUAACCGUGGGAAACCAUGGCUAAUACCGCAUAUGUCUUUCGAGAUGAAAGCAGCAAUGCGCCAGAGGAGCAGCCUGCGGCCGAUUAUUUAGUCCUAGUUGGUGAGGUAAUGGCUCACCAAGGGUACGAUCGGUAGCUGGUCUGAGAGGAUGAUCAGCCACACUGGAACUGAGACACGGUCCAGACUCCUACGGGAGGCAGCAGUGGGGAAUAUUGCGCAAUGGGCGAAAGCCUGACGCAGCCACGCCGCGUGAGUGAUGAAGGCCUUCGGUUGUAAAGCUCUGUCGGGAGGGAA
rnacentral:rRNA from 1 species